GACAACUCGCGGGGAUUGUUUUCCACACCGUGGAAGCUUUGUUCUUUUCGUUUUUUGCAAUAAAUCUUGUUGCUGCUCGCUUUUUGGGUCCACAUUGCUUUUAUGAGCUGUACCACUCACCGUGAAGAUCUGCAGCUUCACUUCAGAGCCUAGCGAGACCACAAGCUCACUGAGAGGAACAAACAACUCCAGACGCGCUGUCUUAAGAGCUAUAACACUCACCGCGAAGGUGUGCAGUUUCACUCCUGAGCUAGUGAGACUACGAAGCCACUGGAACGAAGAAACUCCAACCACGUUUGAACAUCAGAAGGGGCAGACUCCAGACGCUUCAUCUUAAGAGCUGUAACACUCACUGUGAAGGUCUGCAGCUUCACUCCUGAGCCAGCGAGACCACGAACCGAUCUGAACAUCAGAAGGGACAGACUCCAGAUGCCCCACCUUAAGAGCUGUAAUACUCACUGCAAGGGUCUGCAGCUUCAUUCUUGAAGUCAGACCAAGAACCCAGCAAUUCCCAACACACAGGGACCAGCUUCUUUCCUAACUCACUUAGGCUCUUCGUGCUGCUCUGGCAACUAACACCCUUGGCUGCAGGGGCUUGGACACUACCCUUAGUCACUGACAAUUGUGUGAAGGCUGCUGUCGUUAACUUCACUUGAUCACCUUAGGCUCCUGUGAAGUGGUGAGCAAUUCAAACAAAUUCCUGUCGUCAAAUCAUGAGUCCACCUGUCCCGAGUUGGAAGUCUGAACUCAUGUUCCUGGAUUCCUCCCAUGCAUCUUGGUGCUGGUGUGGGGCCUGAACUCAGCCAAUCCGCAACACCUCCAGGAGUCUUCCUCUUAGAUGCUGAGGCCACGGAGAAGGAAGCAGCACAAAGAAUGAACCCUGGAGAGGGUGCCAGAGGCAGGCGGGUUCCAGCCAUGUGGCGGCACAGCCUUACUGGGAUAGUCUAGCUGUGUCACUCAGAAUCCUGAUUUUGUUUGGAAGGACAGCGUGCCUGGUUCCAGAUGGAGAAAUUGCACUGCAGAGAAAUCUUUAAAAGCAAUUACCUAAUACUGCAGAUUGCUGAACUGUACCCACACCCAAGACUGAGCAUUGGAUCAAUCCAGAAUAUACAUCAGGUGUUCUGCAAUGUCUGCCUAAAACCAUGACUCUGCCUCCUCCAGCUGUUGCUACAUCUCACUAUGGGUUUCCUGUGACAUUUUGAGCAAGUAUGCCUCUGUGACUGGGGUUCUUACACUCCAGAAUGGAUGAGAAGCACCGUAAGUGGCUUUUAAAAUGAAUAUUCCCUGGCCCUUCAGUCGCUCUAUAGGUCAAGAAUCUGAAUUCUCAACCUGUCUAGAAGGUUCUGGUUUUAAUGGUCUGUGGGCUGCACAUUGAGAAACCUGUUCAGCGAGUGCAACAAAGGUUCCACAUGUGAGAAAGGAAGCAUCAGGUCUCUUGAGCCUGUUCUUUAAUCUGUAGGCUGCACCUUCUCUUUAAAUUCUGCUAAUAACACCAUGCGAGAAAACACCCGAGCUUGAAAAGCCCAUGUUCCAACAUAACUGUCCUUCACCACUCUGGAAAAUUAAUGGUUUGUUUCGAUUAUCCCUUUGUUAAACUCCAAAGUCAAAGAGCUCUGAAAGGCAUACGGUUAUUUUAAGUUUCAGGUGAUUUCUGUUGCCAAAUAUUUUAAAAAUUUAAAAUUGCUACGUGACCUCUUAGUAGUACUAUUAGAUUUCCUGACAAUAAAAAUAAGUCUUUUGGUUUCACCAUUUAUAGUUAGUACAGCUAAUAUUAAGUAUAAUUUUAAAAGCCUUUUAUUUUCUCAGAAAGAAAAAAUAAUCAAAAUCUGCUCAGUGUGGUAUUGAAUAAUUAAAAACAAAAGAACAGUAUCUUCACAUUAGUGUUUAAUAUUAAUUGCUUUUUUACCCUUGACACUGGUGCUAAUUAAAUUUUCAUUUUAUUUUCCAUGACUUGUUUAAACAGUUUUUGCAAAUUAUUGCUAAUCAGCCUAAUAAAACUGAAUCACCUAUUAAACAAUUUUGUUUUGAAUUAAAUGGCAUUAAAAUAA
rnacentral:lncRNA from 1 species